rnacentral:misc_RNA from 1 species
CCCAACAUAGUGUUACUCUCCCUCCCAAAUGUGCCAUUUGGCUUCUUGGCUGGUGGGGAGGGAAACGCUGGGACGAGCAGAGUUAACACUCUAGUGAAUUAAAAAUAGAAAAAGAGAAAAGAAACGCCUGAUUUUGCAAUCUAAUCAAUGCAUGGAAGAAGAGAAUUCCAAGAAGAGACCGCUGGACCUUGACUGGGACGUGAUAUUGGACUCAAAAGACGACGAACAACAGCAGAUACUGAUCGUUAAAGGGCCUACGCAACUGCCAAAACCCUCGCCAAUGAGCACCGAUCACUCGCCUAGGGAGGAUUGUGCUUCCAUGACCGAUCGCGAGCUUGAGGACGGUAUUAAGAGGCAGAAGCUCAAUAUUGCAAAUUUAAGCCCAAUUUUGCCUGACAAAGGUGAGAAACUUCGGGCGUUGCUUAAAACCUUAGAGGAUGAAUACCAACGGAGAAAGCUUCGACGCCCUGAAAUGGAUGUUGAUGUAUUUGAGAAGCCUGCUCAGUUAACAAGUUCAGGUAUAACUGAUGGCUUUAAACAAAAGAAUGGAUCAUCUGAAGUACAUUCACAAUCUGAAGUUGCCAUUAUUUUUAGUAGAAAGACGAAAGAAAAUACAGAUUGCAAGAUAGUCAAAGCAUUUGAUGAUGAAGAAUUGUCAACUUUGAGUCGAUGCAACAGCCAGAAAACGAGAACUGAUGGAGCCUUAUCACAAAGUUGGAGAAAAAAAGGUCAUUCAUCAUCAAAAAAAUUGCCUUUUCAAUACGAUAACAGCCCUUCACAUAAUGGACAUAAACAUGUUACAUAUAACGGUGAUCGAAAGGACAGAGCUUCUUCUACUUCUUCCUUCAGCCACACUGGGGAAAGCUUUUCCAGCAAUUUUUCCAAGAAGAAGGAUACUUGUCAAGUCCUACCUUCAAAUGGCUCAGGGCCUAGGAAAGUAUGUCUUUUAAUUUUCUCCCCCUUCUGAUUUGUAUUCUUUUGCUUGCACUUCAUCUACUUUGAAACUAGUUAUAUGGUUUUGUUUGAGAAAGGAGGUUUUGCUCUUGAAAGGUUAUGGAAGCAUGGGAGAGAAGGAUAGUUUGACAUGUUCAUCUUAAGCCUACCUUCUAUAUUAGCUUCAGAAUGAUGUGUGCUGCGCAUUGCAAUGUAAUUUUUGCCUGUAAGAAAGUCUUGUUUGGACUGAUAAUUAGGUUUUUUCCUUUUUGUCCCCUUCCCAUAUUUUUUUGUUCUUUAAUUCAGUUUACUUUAAAGUUUUAGUUGUGUUAGUAGUAACUGAUGGACUGAUCUCCCUUGGUAGAUAAAGUGAUUGGAUGAACUGUUUUUAGAAUUUCCUAGAGAUCUGUGAUUAUUGCCCAUCUAAUAGCUCUUGCACUGGUAGACUUAAUUAUCAGAUUAUUGAUCUUUUUCUUUGUAAUCUUUUUAUACACAUUAGCUAAGAGGCAAGACUUGAUUGACUGCCAUUUCCAUGAAUUUGCGUUAAAUGGAAGUUUCUUAUUCAUCUUUCUCUUUGUAAUCCUUUAAUUCAUCUUUGUGCUUGCCAUGACUUGGGUUAAUGUAGCCAAAAGUUUGUUUGUCACUGUAAUCCUGCAAUCAGAAUUUUAUUCCCACCAUAUAUUGGGUUUUUAUCUCUAGUUGUUGAUAGAUCCAUGAUGGCAUUAUUCAAGCAGGGGAAGACAGUUGUUCUUGUAGAUGAGGAUGAAACCCAACUUGUAGAGACAAUAGAGCCUGAAAACAAACAUGCUGAAUGCAUGAAGGAUGCUAAGAUCUACUACCCAUCAAGGGAUGAUCAAGAAUCUGUAGAAAUUUGUUACUCGGAUAUAAACUGCCUAGCCCCUGAAGGUUUUUUGACGUCACCGAUCAUGAACUUUUACAUCAGGUGAGUGGAUUUGGGUACAGUUUAUAUCUACCGUUUGAGCAGUGAUGUUCAUGGGUGUAGAUCUCAGGAUUUGUUUGGUAGGUUAUAAUGGAUUCUAAUGUAAUUAAGUGAAAUGUAUUGGUCAUUCUCUACCUAUAUUUGAUUGCAAAAACAAAAUGGAUGUAAUUUAAUUUAUAUACCUAUAUUUAUUUUAUGUGAUAGUGGCAGCAUUUGUGAGGUGAUGGUGGUGGUAGAAGUAAAAAUAAGUGAAGUAAUCAUGAUUACAUAAGUUUUUAGUUGUAAAGGACAUUACAUUAGUUAAAAUAAUAAUGAAUGCAUAAUGUGAAUUACAUUAAUUUUUUUUUUUGGGUCUAACUAAUAAAGAAAUGGGAUUUGUAACGUAAUUGUGAUUGUAUUAGUCUUGCCAAACAUAACCUUAUUGUCUUUCUUAUAUGCAUAAACAUAAGGGGACCGUGAAAAUUUAUGAAUGAUAGUUCUACAGAGUUCCAAAAAAGAGCGUAUUUGGUAAUUAUUGAACUGCAGCAGGCUGAUAUGUGAGGCUCAUUUUCUGACCAUGUGGAGGGCAGGGAAGAGGGUGCCCAUUUAUAGGAAGGAUUUUUUUUUUGUCCUUUCCAUUAUCACUUGUAUUCACAGGUCAUAGUUGUUUUAGUUUAGGAACAAGAUGGAAUCCAUAAGCAGGAGAAACAUUUAUAAGCAAUAUCCUGGGACAAUUUGUGGACACUGCGGUCAAGCUGGCUUGUGAACCAGUAAGCUGAAUAUUGUAGGUGCUUGAGUUUAUCUCUUGUUUUUUUAGCUCCAAUUUUCUUCUCAGGUUUUAAGCUAAGCAGGCUUCAUCUUAUUGUAAGGGGGAAUAAUUGCAUUUGCUUUUCUUUGUUAUCUUUGAAAAUUUCAUUUUUUCCAUGUGCUGCUUGUGUCUUCUGUGUGCUUGUUUAAAAAGUCCUAUUGCUUCUAUGUUCCAUGUGGAUAUUUAAGGAUGGUGUGUUUGAAAUUGGCUGCAUUUAGUGACGUCUUGGUGUGUGUGUCCAGGUAUUUACGGCUGCAAAUCUCCCCAACAAACAAGGCUAUAUGUGAUUAUCACUUUUUCAAUACAUUCUUCUACAAGAAGCUCAAACAGGCUGUAUCUUACAAGGGGAGUGACAAAGAAUCCUUUUUUGUCAAGUUCAGAAGGUGGUGGAAGGGUGUCAAUAUAUUUCAGAAGGCAUAUGUCUUUAUUCCCAUACACGAAGAUCUUCAUUGGAGCUUGGUGAUUAUUUGUAUCCCAGACAAGGAAGAUGACUUGGGACCAAUUAUACUUCAUUUGGAUUCUUUGGGACUUCACUCUAGUAAAUCAGUCUUUGAAGACAUUAGAAGGUGAGGCAAAGGCCUUCCUAGGCCACUAAGACAUGUUUCAAUAUUAACUUUCUGUAAAAGAGAUGUACAAGUUUGUAACUUAUUCUGCUUAUGCCUUUUAUUCGGUUGUAGCAGCAAUGAUAGUUUUAUGGCUAUGUUAAGAAUCCUGUGGAAUGUUUGUUAACAUGAGGUAUCAUUUACAUUUUCUGUUUUAUUUAAAUGCAUGAAGUCAGAAUUGGAGUUGCUUUUCUUUCAGAUCUUCAAAGGGUUAGUGUGUGGGAAGCAUUGUGAACUAUCAUGAUAAGACACUUAAUUUGUUGCAUGUCUUAUAGUUAGCCCUUGGUUAUAAUGCUCCUUCUUAAUGUGAAUCCUUUUCUAAUUAUAUCAUUUGUGUGCUGCAGUUAUUUGAGAGAAGAAUGGAACUACAUGAAACAAGAAGUUUCUCCGCCAGAUCUUCCAAUUGCAGACCGAAUAUGGAAACAUCUCCCUCGUAGAAUUGAUGUGAAAAAAAUUGAGGUUCCUCAACAGAAAAAUGACUAUGAUUGUGGUCCCUUUGUACUGUUCUUCAUGGAACGGUUUAUUGAAGAGGCUCCUGAGAGACUGAAAAAGAAAGAUUUAGCAAUGGUAUUUCCUGCCACCCCUAGGCUUGAUGAGUUUCUUCUAUGUGACAUAAUUCCAUACAAUCUCUUCUAUUACUUUGUUAACACAUCUUUAUUUCCAGUUUGGCAAGCAAUGGUUCAGACCUGAACAGGCCUCGGGUUUGAGAGUGAAAAUCAGAAAAUUACUUUUCAAUGAAUUUCAAAAUGCAAAUGAGAGUGGCAAAAUUUCAGUAUCUUCUCCUUUGCCUUCAGAUGGUGCUUCACCCUGAAUUUGAUCCAGCUGCUACUCUACUAGUUCUCUAAUGAGUUGAGUGUACAUCUACGUAUAUCUCGCAUUUGAAUACAAAUUAGACUGUUAAAGAAUGGUGAAAUGAAACUCGUAUAGCCUCGGAAAUUGGUUCAGAUGCUAUUGGCGCCACGGAAAAAGUGGAUUCACAAUUGUCUGGACAUGGAAAUAAGUUUCAGUUAUUUCCCUACUGACCAAUUCUGGUAAGAAGUCCAAUUUAAUUCCUUGUCCAAAAUCCAAAUGUACAGGAGGGAAUUGCAUUACUGCUGAUUACUAAUGAUCGUGGUAGCGAAGACAUUAUCCAUCAGAUAGGCUGUAUUCUGUAAGUAGUUUCAUCAAGAUACACUGGUCUAAAAUGCAAGCAGAAAAGGACAAUUGAUAAUCGUUACACUGAGCUCCAUGGAAAUGCUUAGUGUCUUGUGAUUUGAUGUCCACAGCU